CAGAGGGUGCGAGCGUUAAUCGGAAUUACUGGGCGUAAAGCGUGCGUAGACGGUUAUUUAAGUCGGAUGUGAAAGCCCCGGGCUCAACCUGGGAAUUGCAUUCGAGACUGAAUAGCCAGGGUACGGUAGAGGGAAGCGGAAUUUCCGGUGUAGCGGUGAAAUGCGUAGAUAUCGGAAGGAACAUCAGUGGCGAAAGCGGCUUCCUGGACCAGUACCGACGUUCAGGCACGAAAGCGUGGGGAGCAAACAGGAUUAGAUACCCUGGUAGUCCACGCCAUAAACGAUGAGGACUAGACGUUGGAGGGUUAAGCCUUUCAGUGUCGUAGCUAACGCGCUAAGUCCUCCGCCUGGGGAGUACGGCCGCAAGGUUG
rnacentral:rRNA from 1 species